AUUGAACGCUGGCGGCAGGCUUAACACAUGCAAGUCGAGCGAGCGGCGGACGGGUGAGUAAUGACUGGGAAACUGCCUGCUGGAGGGGGAUAACUAAUGGAAACGGUAGCUACUAACGCAUACCAUCAGAUGUGCCCAGAUGGGAUUAGCUAGUCGGUGGGGUAAUUGCUCACCUAGGCGCCGCGCCCUAGCUGGGCUGAGAGGAUGACCAGCCACACGGGAACUGAGAAACGGUCCAGACUCCUACGGGAGGCAGCAGUGGGGAAUAGUGCACAAGGGGCGCAAGCCUGAUGCAGCCAUGCCGCGUGUGUGAAGAAGGCCUGCGGGUUGUAAAGCACUUUCAGCGAGGAGGCGUUACUCGCAGAAGAAGCACCGGCUAACUCCGUGCCAGCAGCCGCGGUAAUUC
rnacentral:rRNA from 1 species